UUUACCCUGCGAUGUUCGAGAUUACGAGGUGUGAUUCCCGAACCGCUAUUUGAUGAAACUAGGAGGCUGUGUCGCCCGCAGAAAAUGACAGGCCUUCAUUGGAAGUCAGACGCUGCGACGACGGUCAUCCACCCGUUACUGAAAGGGAACGGGUAAUCCGCCUGAACGGCAUCGGCGGGGUAACA
rnacentral:other from 1 species